rnacentral:rRNA from 1 species
GGCAGCACGGGGGCAACCCUGGUGGCGAGUGGCGAACGGGUGAGUAAUAUAUCGGAACGUACCCAGUAGUGGGGGAUAACUAUCCGAAAGGAUAGCUAAUACCGCAUACGAUCUGUGGAUGAAAGCAGGGGAUCUUCGGACCUUGUGCUAUUGGAAUGGCCGAUAUCUGAUUAGCUAGUUGGUAGGGUAAAAGCCUACCAAGGCGACGAUCAGUAGCUGGUCUGAGAGGACGACCAGCCACACUGGAACUGAGACACGGUCCAGACUCCUACGAGAGGCAGCAGUGGGGAAUUUUGGACAAUGGGGGCAACCCUGAUCCAGCAAUGCCGCGUGAGUGAAGAAGGCCCUCGGGUUGUAAAGCUCUUUUGUCAGGGAAGAAACGGUGAUCUCUAAUAUAGAUUGCUAAUGACGGUACCUGAAGAAUAAGCACCGGCUAACUACGUGCCAGCAGCCGCGGUAAUACGUAGGGUGCAAGCGUUAAUCGGAAUUACUGGGCGUAAAGCGUGCGCAGGCGGUUUUGUAAGUCUGAUGUGAAGUCCCUGGGCUCAACCUGGGAACUGCAUUGGAGACUGCAAGGCUAGAGUGUGUCAGAGGGGGGUAGAAUUCCACGUGUAGCAGUGAAAUGCGUAGAGAUGUGGAGGAAUACCGAUGGCGAAGGCAGCCCCCUGGGAUAACACUGACGCUCAUGCACGAAAGCGUGGGGAGCAAACAGGAUUAGAUACCCCGGUAGUNNNNNNNNUAAACGAUGUCUACUAGUUGUCGGGACUUAAUUGUCUUGGUAACGCAGCUAACGC